AUACUCUGGUUUCUCUUUGAAUCAUAUAAAAUUUUCAUCUUUUACUAAAGACUUCCAUGGAAAGGAACAUAUAUGACUUUGUAACUACUUGUUGGAAGCUUUACGCUACCCAAGUC